CUACGGGAGGCAGCAGUGGGGAAUAUUGGACAAUGGGGGCAACCCUGAUCCAGCCAUGCCGCGUGUGUGAAGAAGGCCUUUUGGUUGUAAAGCACUUUAAGCAGGGAGGAGAGGCUAAUGGUUAAUACCCAUUAGAUUAGACGUUACCUGCAGAAUAAGCACCGGCUAACUCUGUGCCAGCAGCCGCGGUAAUACAGAGGGUGCGAGCGUUAAUCGGAAUUACUGGGCGUAAAGCGAGUGUAGGUGGCUCAUUAAGUCACAUGUGAAAUCCCCGGGCUUAACCUGGGAACUGCAUGUGAUACUGGUGGUGCUAGAAUAUGUGAGAGGGAAGUAGAAUUCCAGGUGUAGCGGUGAAAUGCGUAGAGAUCUGGAGGAAUACCGAUGGCGAAGGCAGCUUCCUGGCAUAAUAUUGACACUGAGAUUCGAAAGCGUGGGUAGCAAACAGGAUUAGAUACCCGGGUAGUC
rnacentral:rRNA from 1 species